AUACGUAGGGUGCAAGCGUUAAUCGGAAUUACUGGGCGUAAAGCGUGCGCAGGCGGUUAUGUAAGACAGAUGUGAAAUCCCCGGGCUCAACCUGGGAACUGCAUUUGUGACUGCAUAGCUAGAGUGCGGCAGAGGGGGAGUGGAAUUCCGCGUGUAGCAGUGAAAUGCGUAGAUAUGCGGAGGAACACCGAUGGCGAAGGCAAUCCCCUGGGCCUGUACUGACGCUCAUGCACGAAAGCGUGGGGAGC
rnacentral:rRNA from 1 species